UACAGAGGGGGCAAGCGUUAAUCGGAAUUACUGGGCGUAAAGCGUGCGCAGGCGGCUUUGCAAGACAGAUGUGAAAUCCCCGGGCUAACCUGGGAACUGCAUUUGUGACUGCAUGGCUAGAGUGCGGCAGAGGGGGAUGGAAUUCCGGCGUGUAGCAGUGAAAUGCGUAGAUAUGCGGAGGAACACCGAUGGCGAAGGCAAUCCCCUGGGCCUGCACUGGACGCUCA
rnacentral:rRNA from 1 species